rnacentral:rRNA from 1 species
UAGCCGUAAACGAUACUCGCUAGGUGUCGGCCACGGUGCGACCGUUGUCGGUGCCGUAGGGAAGCCGUGAAGCGAGCCACCUGGGAAGUACGGCCGCAAGGCUGAAACUUAAAGGAAUUGGCGGGGGAGCACCGCAACGGGAGGAGCGUGCGGUUCAAUUGGAUUCAACGCCGAAAAACUCACCAGGAGCGACGGAUAUAUGAAGGUCAAGCUGAUGACUUUACCUGAUUUUCCGAGAGGUGGUGCAUGGCGUAGUCGUGU